UACGUAGGGUGCAAGCGUUUGUCCGGAAUUAUUGGGCGUAAAGAGCUCGUAGGCGGUUCGUCACGUCGGCUGUGAAAUCCCGAGGCUCAACCUCGGGUCUGCAGUGGGUACGGGCAGACUAGAGUGAUGUAGGGGAGACUGGAAUUCCUGGUGUAGCGGUGAAAUGCGCAGAUAUCAGGAGGAACACCGAUGGCGAAGGCAGGUCUCUGGGCAUUAACUGACGCUGAGGAGCGAAAGCAUGGGGGAGCGAACAGG
rnacentral:rRNA from 1 species